rnacentral:rRNA from 1 species
CAGCAGCCACGGGAAUACGUAGGGUGCAAGCGUUAAUCGGAAUUACUGGGCGUAAAGCGUGCGUAGGCGGCUUUUUAAGUCGGAUGUGAAAUCCCUGAGCUUAACUUAGGAAUUGCAUUCGAUACUGGGAAGCUAGAGUAUGGGAGAGGAUGGUAGAAUUCCAGGUGUAGCGGUGAAAUGCGUAGAGAUCUGGAGGAAUACCGAUGGCGAAGGCAGCCAUCUGGCCUAAUACUGACGCUGAGGUACGAAAGCAUGGGGAGCAAACAGGAUUAGAUACCCCCGUAGUCCCUGUCUCUUAUAC